AAUAUUGCGCAAUGGAGGGAACUAUGACGCAGCGACGCCGCGUGAGCGAUGAAGGUCUUCGGAUCGUAAAGCUCUGUCCUUGGGGAAGAAGGUCUUCGGACUUGACGGUACCUAAGGAGGAAGCCCCGGCUAACUACGUGCCAGCAGCCGCGGGAAUACGGAGGGGGCGAGCGGUAUCCGGCAUUAUUGGGCGUAAAGGGUGCGUAGGCGGCCUUUUAAGUCAGAUGUGAAAGGCUACGGCUUAACCGUAGUUAGCAUUUGAAACUAAAAGGCUUGAGUGCAGGAGAGGAGAGUGGAAUUCCUAGUGUAGCGGUGAAAUGCGUAGAUAUUAGGAGGAACACCAGUGGCGAAGGCGACUCUCUGGACUGCAACUGACGCUGAGGCACGAAAGCGUGGGGAGCGAACA
rnacentral:rRNA from 1 species